GGGACAACCCGCCGAAAGGCGGGCUAAACCCGCGUACAUGCCACCGGGGCAUCCCGGAGGCAGGAAAGGCUUCGGCCGGACAGGGAUGGGCAUGCGGCGCAUUAGGCAGUAGGCGGGGUAACGGCCCACCUAACCGACGAUGCGUAGGGGUUCUGAGAGGAAGGUCCCCCACACUGGUACUGAGACACGGACCAGACUCCUACGGGAGGCAGCAGUGAGGAAUAUUGGUCAAUGGUCGGGAGACUGAACCAGCCAAGCCGCGUGAGGGAUGAAGGUACAGAGUAUCGUAAACCUCUUUUGUCAGGGAACAAAGGUGGGGACGUGUCCCCGGAUGAGUGUACCUGAAGAAAAAGCAUCGGCUAACUCCGUGCCAGCAGCCGCGGUAAUACGGAGGAUGCGAGCGUUAUCCGGAUUUAUUGGGUUUAAAGGGUGCGCAGGCGGUCUGUUAAGUCAGCGGUCAAAGCCCGGGGCUCAACCCCGGUCCGCCGUUGAAACUGGCAGUCUCGAGUUGGAGAGAAGUAUGCGGAAUGCGCGGUGUAGCGGUGAAAUGCAUAGAUAUCGCGCAGAACUCCGAUUGCGAAGGCAGCAUGCCGGCUCCACACUGACGCUGAGGCACGAAAGCGUGGGUAUCGAACAGGAUUAGAUACCCUGGUAGUCCACGCAGUAAAC
rnacentral:rRNA from 1 species